rnacentral:sRNA from 1 species
AAACUCGUACUCCUGGCGUUAUCGUAACACUCUGAUAACUAAUUGGUUAAACGUUUGCCUAAACACCGCCAUUUCUGGCCGCCCAGAAUAAUGAUGGAUGCUGUCUCAAAGGGUCAGGAUGGGGUUAAAUCGUCCGUAGAGUGACAUGCGGUGCUGAGUAAAAUCACUUCCGUGCUUGUUGCGCAACGGAAAAGAGGAAUUCUAGCAAGGCUGCGCAAAGAAAACGAGAUUUUUACGGGCUACUGUGGGAAAAUCUAUUGGCUUACUUUAAACAGGGUUAUUAAGGGGGGGGAAAUGAAUACCGAUAUGAAAAUGACACUGCUGACGGUUGUGGGUUCACUGCUGAUGAUUAUUGCGUUUAGCAUCACGGCAGUAAUGCACUAAGUU